ACCAGAUCUUAGGAGGUUGUCCACCUUCAAAAGUCAAAAGAACACUUUUUGGACCACUCAACGAUUCUAUUGAAGAUAGUGAGUGUUUAUCAUCUCCCAACAGCAGAAACAAAAUAUCAUCUGUUGCAAGAAAAUUAUCUGCUUUUAAACCAAGCACAUUAGUUGAUAAUGAUGUAUUGGAAAUUAAGUCUUCAGAAAGAGCAUAUAAAACAACUGCCAUAUAUAAUACAUCUUCAUCACCAUUUAAAGUGUCAUCACCAGAAAACCACCAGAUAUUCAC